rnacentral:rRNA from 1 species
AGGCUGGCAGCAGGCCUAACACAUGCAAGUCGAGCGGUAGCACGGGAGAGCUUGCUCUCUGGGUGACGAGCGGCGGACGGGUGAGUAAUGUCUGGGAAACUGCCUGAUGGAGGGGGAUAACUACUGGAAACGGUAGCUAAUACCGCAUGACCUCGCAAGAGCAAAGUGGGGGACCUUCGGGCCUCACGCCAUCGGAUGUGCCCAGAUGGGAUUAGCUAGUAGGUGGGGUAAUGGCUCACCUAGGCGACGAUCCCUAGCUGGUCUGAGAGGAUGACCAGCCACACUGGAACUGAGACACGGUCCAGACUCCUACGGGAGGCAGCAGUGGGGAAUAUUGCACAAUGGGCGCAAGCCUGAUGCAGCCAUGCCGCGUGUGUGAAGAAGGCCUUAGGGUUGUAAAGCACUUUCAGCGAGGAGGAAGGCGUUGUAGUUAAUAGCUGCAACGAUUGACGUUACUCGCAGAAGAAGCACCGGCUAACUCCGUGCCAGCAGCCGCGGUAAUACGGAGGGUGCAAGCGUUAAUCGGAAUUACUGGGCGUAAAGCGCACGCAGGCGGUUUGUUAAGUCAGAUGUGAAAUCCCCGAGCUUAACUUGGGAACUGCAUUUGAAACUGGCAAGCUAGAGUCUUGUAGAGGGGGGUAGAAUUCCAGGUGUAGCGGUGAAAUGCGUAGAGAUCUGGAGGAAUACCGGUGGCGAAGGCGGCCCCCUGGACAAAGACUGACGCUCAGGUGCGAAAGCGUGGGGAGCAAAC